UAUUUAGAUCAGCAGAUUUGCAUCGAUUUGAUCAGACAGAUUUGUGGUAGGAGACUCCCUCACGUGAACCAAGAGAAAUAAGGAGAAAGUCAGCUCAAUGUGUCCAAUAUCCUUCACUUUUACUCACCUAUGCACUAUGCGUUGACGUGAAGCUCCUCCAUUCCAGGCCUCAGUGUUCUCUUCUCUCUAUCAUCUUUUCAAAUCAUUUUCAUUCAUCUAAAUAUUUUUCUUAGGACCCAUUUUGAUCUCUUUUUUACUUGCUUACAUGGCAGCUGAAGUGUAAUUUGUCUUUUUCAUUUAUAAUUACUUUGGAAUGGUCGAUGUGAUCAAUGAAAUACGCAGAAUCAGAAAAUAAAAAUAAAGGGCACGUGAUGAAUUUGAAAGGGGAACUAGGUUUUGCUUCCUUUAUCGCUUGUUCGUUCUUCGAUGGCUUUCCUCCUUCGUCAUGGCUGAAACCUCACGACUGAAAUUACUGAAAAAUUUUGUCUCCUUAGAGACCCGUUUGAAAGAAGAAAGCUUUAUCGUCGACCUUUUAACUUGAAGAGGCGCGGUGGCUGAAAGAUGAGCCGACCCUUUUCCAUUUGUUUUCUCUCAUUCGUCGUUCAACGCUUACCCAGCUUACCCACUGAAAACACUCCAAGUUUUUCCUUUUGGCAAAAAUUUGAACUGGAUUUUGAUGGAGUGUGAGAUUGGAGAAGUACAAGAGAGAUUCAUAUUCAUUGUAGAGGGAAGGAGAAAACAUGCAAGCCGUGUGGAGCCCUGAUGCCAAAUUAAUUGUUAUUCUUUCCAGUUGUCAGAUGAAAGAAUACACAUUGGUGGUAGACAACCCUCUACUUUAUGCCUAGUUAUCAUUUCUCUUGUGCUCACAUAACAAGUUCCUUUUGCAGUAAAGGAUUUAUCUUUGUAAGUUUCGUGCUCGUUUCUAUUUUAUAAUUUUCUUCAUCUAUAUGAGAUGCAUCAAUUUGAUUGAAUAAAACUAUUAAUUUCCUACGGGUGUGAUUUGUGGAAUGUGAAUUGAAUAAGAUUUUUUCUUAAUAAUUAAAAAUUGUAUAUCGUCCAUUUUAUACAACCAACAAAGGUAUGUUAAUUAGUUUGUGAUAGUUCAAAUUGAGUAUAAUGUCUCACUGAUGGAAGGAUAAAAUGUAAUGUUUCACUAUUGGAUGCCCAACAUAGUCCCCAACAUAGUCUUUAAAAUUUGUACUGUUUGAGUACCACAUUAAUUCUCUAAUUGUAGGAUAGAUUGAAUGACCUAAUCAUUUUUUCUUUUAAUUAUGUAUGUUUGAAAGGUGUUGUGAAAAAUAUUCAUGCUUCAGUCAGGUGGCUUAAGGCAAAUGGUUCAACCAAGGGUUCUACCUAUUCUUGUGUUGUCAAGAUAAAAAAUAGGUGAAACCAGAAAAAAAGGUGGAGUAGUUGUGUCAAAAACCGUUGUUUUUAUGUGGCAUUAUAUGCUACCAGAGGUGUGGUUUCUUGCAUAUAUUUACUUUUGAUUGUAUGAGAUGAUCUGAAGACAUUAUUGGAAUUGUUUUUUUUAAAUGACGUUAAAGGAGGAUUUUUAAUUGCUUAAGAGAUGAUGACUAGUUUUCAUGCUAUUAGUCUUUGCUAUGAAAAUAAAAGACAGUCACAGGUCUCUCUUGUAUCUCCUACUAUUUCAUGAUGUUAUUUUUUAGUACUUGUUCUAUUAAAUAUGUGUGGCAGAGGCUUUAGAAAAAGGAUAUAUGUUUUUUCAUUUAAAACUAUAAUAUUAUUACAAUGAGAGUCUUAGAAGAAAUAAUAAAGAGACUUACACCAUUAUAUGUGAUGAGCUGCAGCAUGCCAGUGCAUAGAAUUGUAAUUGGAAUAUGACUAUACAUUGCACAUAUAUAUAUAUAUAUAUAUAUAUAUAUAUAUAUAAUGAAAACAAAGUCAA